CCAAGCAGCAGCCAUGUUGAAACUCUCAGAUCAGUCUGAUCCUGAUCUGCAGAGAUAUUUGAGGCACACACACACACACACACACAUACAGAUUUCUUGCUUUUAUAGAGAGAUUGUAGAGCAUGGAGCCCCGCAAAAGUUCCCAAAAGUUAGCUUUUGCUAAUUUCUGCUCAAUGUAAUUCUUCUGGGGCACACCGGAGCAACACUUGUUCAAGGUGAUAUCAUCUUGCACAUAUUUGGGAACCUACAGUAGGAACACUGUGUUGUGGAGCAUCAGUGAUGCUGCAAGCCAGGAGUACUGAGUGGACCACAGUAACACUGGAAACAUAGUAAGCAUGAUGAAAGCCUGCUGUUUUUAAGGAAUUCAUUGUGGACUCUAGUAGCGCCCAUCCAGGACACUGAGGCCACGCCCUCGGCAUCUUUACUGGGUCUUUGAUAUCUUCAUCUAAAUAUCUGUCUUAUCGUUGAAAUAAACUAAUACACAUUGUUUUUGAAAAGGCAAUUAAACUUUAAGAGUGUUUUGACUGUUAACAAGCAACUUUUUUCUAUAGCAACUCGUAAUACUUUUUAAAUGGUUAACCAUUACAAUAAAUAAUACAUGUUUAAUGAACCAUGGCAGUGUUUCUUAACUGUGGAAUUACUGCCAAAUCUAAUAAACUCUAUGUUGACUGUUUAUCAGUGAUGGCUAUCACGAAGUUUUACCUGAACUUCUUUUUUAGCAUAGAAGAAGUUAAAAUAAGUUUCACACAUUUAAGUCAAAACAGGCCAUAUUUUGUUUGUCUGUUUGCUGUAACUGAUAUUAUUUCCUAAGUGAUUAUUGGUCCUGUAAUAAUACAGAGAAAUGCACAGAUUUAUACUAUAAUCUUCAAAAUGGUCUUGGUGGAUGGAUGACCUCAGCAUUUCUAAAAUCCUGGCUACUGCCCUGCCUGUUCAUACUGAAUAUUGCAUUAUGACUAUUUUUGUACUGCUUCGGUGCUGUUUAUCACAGUGCACUUUGAGUACAGUAUUGUGGCAGUGUAGGGUGUUUUACGUUGUUUACAUAGAAUCAUCUUUGCAGUGCAAAUUUACUGUGUCCAUGAUGUUAAGAUGAAGCCACACCCCUUCCUGUGGACCCCUUGGGUCCUCAUUGUCCAAGAGUAGUUGAGUAUUCUUUAUGAACAGUAACAUUAGAUAAAACAGAGUCAUAAAAUAGGGUACAGCUGUAACAUAUCACAGACUCCUGAUACCGUACAUAUGUCUACAAAAUACAAAUAAAGUUAUUUCCAUGGUUUAUUUCCAUGGUUUCGUCAUGGCACGUCAGCAGAGUGGCAAAGCAUCAUCCUUCAUCGUUAAAAUGAGAGAAUACAGAAUUGAUCAGAGGUUUUAUCAUUUAUAAUGAUAACAGGGAGCAUUCUGUAGUUUUGGAGAAUAAAGGUUAAUGAGUAGAGAAAGACCUCCAUUGGCUGAUUUUC